UACAGAGGGGGCAAGCGUUAUUCGGAAUUAUUGGGCGUAAAGAGCUCGUAGGCGGCUUGUCGCGUCGACUGUGAAAACCCGCGGCUUAACUGCGGGACUGCAGUCGAUACGGGCAGGCUAGAGUUCGGUAGGGGAGACUGGAAUUCCUGGGUGCGUAGGCGGUGAAAAUGCGCAGAUAUCAGGAGGAACACCAAUUGCGAAGGCAGCUCGCUGGGACGUUACUGACGCUGAGACGCGAAAGCGUGGGGAGCAAACAGG
rnacentral:rRNA from 1 species